CCGCACUCUCCACAGAAUCGCUGCCAUGAAUGAUGUUCCUGGGUGGAGAGAGGGAAUGGUGUUACCAAACGGGAAGAAUGAACUUGCCCACAGCCCCUUGCACUCGGCUUUUGAUAGCCGAUGCUGGCCAGGCUCUCUGUUCAAGAAAGGCAUAGCCACUGGGACCAAGCAAAUAUGGGGGACCCUCCCUCCAAGUCAGCUUCCACCUUCAGAGGCAAGAAGACAAAAUUCAUGUUUAAAAGUGACUGAAACCUGGUGCAGUGGCCAGUGCCUGUAUUCCCAGCAUUUGAGAGAGGGGUGGAGGUUGGGAGUAUCAGGAAUUCAAGAAUAGCCUCAGCUACAUAGCAAUUUGGAGGCCAGCUAGCCUACUUGGGACAUUGUCUCGAGGAAACAACUAAACUAAAGGCUGAAGAGACGGCUCAGUUUUAAGAGCACUGGCUGGUCCUCUAGAGAACCUGGGUUUAGUUCCCAGGAUUCACACGGGGCUCACAACUAUCUGUAACUCCAGUUCAGGGGACCCCAGUUCCUUGGGCACCAGUCAUGAAAGUACACAUCAUGCAGGCAAACUAUCCAUACACAUACAGAAAAGUGAAAAAUAAAGAUGAACUUUAAAGGCUAAAAUAAAAUGAAUUGACCCGC
rnacentral:lncRNA from 1 species